rnacentral:autocatalytically_spliced_intron from 1 species
ACGUCGUCUUUUACCGAGGAAGAACAAAAGGCAUUACAGGAAAUUUUACAAGCAAGGUUUUCGUUGACAACGAGAAUUCAUCACCAGCAUGAGUUGGGGAGAAUUUUUAUACCGUCCGCUUAUGCGGAUAGAUUCAAUGAAAUUAUUAAACCUUUCAUUCUUCCGGAAUUUCAGUAUAAACUCCUUUGACCCCGUAACGACUUUUCAUCCCGAUUGGAUCGGGAUUGAAGGAUCCCGACGAACGUCGGGAUAACACGCUAAGCCCCAGUCAUUAUGUCGCUAUCGCGACACCGACUGGGUGAUGGUAUAGUCUAGCCCUCAUGGAAACAUGAGA